UACGAAGGGGGCUAGCGUUGUUCGGAAUUACUGGGCGUAAAGCGUGCGCAGGCGGUUCGCCAAGUCAGGUGUGAAAUCCCCGGGCUUAACCUGGGAAUUGCGCUUGAAACUAGCGGGCUUGAGUGUGGGCAGAGGGGGGUGGAAUUCCACGUGUAGCAGUGAAAUGCGUAGAGAUGUGGAGGAACACCGAUGGCGAAGGCAGCCCCCUGGGUCAACACUGACGCUCAUGCACGAAAGCGUGGGGAGCAAACAGG
rnacentral:rRNA from 1 species